rnacentral:rRNA from 1 species
GUGGGGAAUAUUGGACAAUGGGGGGAACCCUGAUCCAGCGACGCCGCGUGAGUGAAGAAGUAUUUCGGUAUGUAAAGCUCUAUCAGCAGGGAAGAAAUACUGACCUUACGGUCAGCAGACGGUACCUGACUAAGAAGCCCCGGCUAACUACGUGCCAGCAGCCGCGGUAAUACGUAGGGGGCAAGCGUUAUCCGGAUUUACUGGGUGUAAAGGGAGCGUAGACGGCAGCGCAAGUCUGAAGUGAAAUCCCAUGGCUUAACCAUGGAACUGCUUUGGAAACUGUGCAGCUGGAGUGCAGGAGAGGUAAGCGGAAUUCCUAGUGUAGCGGUGAAAUGCGUAGAUAUUAGGAGGAACACCAGUGGCGAAGGCGGCUUACUGGACUGUAACUGACGUUGAGGCUCGAAAGCGUGGGGAGCAAACAGGA